GGGGAGAUCGUCUAGUGGGAAGACGCUGGGGUUUAUACCCUAUGUACGCGGGUUCAAUUCCCGUUCUCUCCAUCA
rnacentral:tRNA from 1 species